rnacentral:rRNA from 1 species
AUUGAACGCUGGCGGCAGGCCUAACACAUGCAAGUCGAGCGGAGCGGCGGACGGGCGAGUGAUGCCUAGGAAUCUGCCCGGUAGUGGGGGAUAAGGUCCGGAAACGGGCGCUGAUACCGCAUCCUAUCAGAUGAGCCUUGGUCGGAUUAGCUAGUUGGUGGGGUAAAGGCCUACCAAGGCGACGAUCCGUAACUGGUCUGAGAGGAUGAUCAGUCACACUGGAACUGAGACACGGUCCAGACUCCUACGGGAGGCAGCAGUGGGGAAUCUUGGACAAUGGGCGAAAGCCUGAUCCAGCAAUGCCGCGUGUGUGAUGAAGGUCUUCGGAUUGUAAAGCACUUUAAGUUGGGAGGCGUUACCAACAGAGUAAGCACCGGCUAACUUCGUGCCAGCAGCCGCGGUAAUAC